rnacentral:rRNA from 1 species
GAUGAACGCUGGCGGCGUGCCUAAUACAUGCAAGUCGAGCGAACAGAUAAGGAGCUUGCUCCUUUGACGUUAGCGGCGGACGGGUGAGUAACACAUGGGUAACCUACCUAUAAGACUGGGAUAACUUCGGGAAACCGGAGCUAAUACCGGAUAAUAUUUCGAACCGCAUGGUUCGAUAGUGAAAGAUGGUUUUGCUAUCACUUAUAGAUGGACCCGCGCCGUAUUAGCUAGUUGGUAAGGUAACGGCUUACCAAGGCGACGAUACGUAGCCGACCUGAGAGGGUGAUCGGCCACACUGGAACUGAGACACGGUCCAGACUCCUACGGGAGGCAGCAGUAGGGAAUCUUCCGCAAUGGGCGAAAGCCUGACGGAGCAACGCCGCGUGAGUGAUGAAGGUCUUCGGAUCGUAAAACUCUGUUAUUAGGGAAGAACAUACGUGUAAGUAACUGUGCACGUCUUGACGGUACCUAAUCAGAAAGCCACGGCUAACUACGUG